CCCUCCCCUGGCGCGCCAUCUUUAGUGCUGGCAGCGAGGCUUCUUGGCCCCACACGUUCAACGUUGCUGCUGGAGAGAUUGGGGUUUAUUUUUAACCAACUUACAUGAACGUGACCCCAUUUCCGAGGCCUGGCGCCUUUCUCAUCCUGUAACUCUUCGCUCGAAUGUCACCUUGCGAGGGAAGUUGUUCCUGAUCACCCUGACUAGGUCCCCUACCGGUAAACAGAAACCAGGCCUUUCAAAGAUGCCACCACUGAGUUCAGUCAAAGCCUGGACUGCCACCCUUCCCUUUUCACGGUUUGUGCACAACUGAACAUCAUUCCUUCCUGCUAAGAGACCACCAACCACAGAGCCGUUCUGGCCAGUCUACGAAGAUGCACUGUGAGGGUUUUCCAGUCCUCUGCUUCACCUUUUGACAUCAGAGUCCUGAAAACUCCACCCUGAGAUCACACUUUCAAUGCCACCAUUUUUUGAACAUGGGACCCAUGGAGAAGCAUGAAGUUCAAUUGCACAUGUGCAUGUUUCCCGUCUCAUGAAUAUUCAUGGUUCCACCUAUAGCUUAUUGAAUAUGUAUAUUUACACUCCAUUCAGUGUAAAUCCCUGUCUCUUCUUUCAACCUUCAAAGUGCCUAUUUCCAGCUUCUGGCCAGAGGCUACACUUCCCAGCCUGUCAGAAUGGGCCUCCUCCAGGCUGCAGGCUUUUUUGAGAAAUAAAGCUCUCCUUUCCAAAUAUAUGAACCUCA